UGCCCAGCAACUCCUAUCCCUACCUCCACGCGGUACCGGCCGGAAACUAUGAGCAACCUUAGGGAAGAUCGGGUAACCAACCCCGGUGGGACCUUUGGUCUAAGGCUGACAGGGAAGG
rnacentral:ribozyme from 1 species